rnacentral:rRNA from 1 species
GUCGUAACAAGGUCUCCGUUGGUGAACNGCGGAGGGAUCAUUACCGAGUUUACAACUCCCAAACCCCUGUGAACAUACCUAUACGUUGCCUCGGCGGAUCAGCCCGCGCCCUGUAAAAAGGGACGGCCCGCCCGAGGACCCUAAACUCUGUUUUUAGUGGAACUUCUGAGUAAAACAAACAAAUAAAUCAAAACUUUCAACAACGGAUCUCUUGGUUCUGGCAUCGAUGAAGAACGCAGCAAAAUGCGAUAAGUAAUGUGAAUUGCAGAAUUCAGUGAAUCAUCGAAUCUUUGAACGCACAUUGCGCCCGCCAGUAUUCUGGCGGGCAUGCCUGUUCGAGCGUCAUUUCAACCCUCAAGCUCAGCUUGGUGUUGGGACUCGCGGUAACCCGCGUUCCCCAAAUCGAUUGGCGGUCACGUCGAGCUUCCAUAGCGUAGUAAUCAUACACCUCGUUACUGGUAAUCGUCGCGGCCACGCCGUAAAACCCCAACUUCUGAAUGUUGACCUCGGAUCAGGUAGGAAUACCCGCUGAACUUAAGCAUAUCA